rnacentral:rRNA from 1 species
AGCAAAUCUCUUAAAGCCGUUCUCAGUUCGGAUUGUAGGCUGCAACUCGCCUACAUGAAGUCGGAAUCACUAGUAAUCGCGGAUCAGCAUGCCGCGGUGAAUACGUUCCCGGGUCUUGUACACACCGCCCGUCACACCAUGAGAGUUUGUAACACCCAAAGCCGGUGGGGUAACCUUUUGGAGCCAGCCGUCUAAGGUGGGACAGAUGAUUGGGGUGAAGUCGUAACAAGGUACC